rnacentral:rRNA from 1 species
GUGAGGAAUAUUGGGCAAUGGGCGAAAGCCUGACCCAGCCACGCCGCGUGAGUGAUGAAGGCCUUAGGGUUGUAAAGCUCUUUCAGUGGGGACGAUAAUGACGGUACCCACAGAAGAAGCCCCGGCUAACUUCGUGCCAGCAGCCGCGGUAAUACGAAGGGGGCUAGCGUUGUUCGGAUUUACUGGGCGUAAAGCGCACGUAGGCGGAUCGUUAAGUCAGGGGUGAAAUCCUGGAGCUCAACUCCAGAACUGCCUUUGAUACUGGCGAUCUAGAGUCCGGAAGAGGUGAGUGGAACUCCUAGUGUAGAGGUGGAAUUCGUAGAUAUUAGGAAGAACACCAGUGGCGAAGGCGGCUCACUGGUCCGGUACUGACGCUGAGGUGCGAAAGCGUGGGGAGCAAACAGGAUUAGAAACCCCUGUAGUCC